rnacentral:rRNA from 1 species
CCCUUAGAUGUUCUGGGCGGCCCGCGCACUACACUGGCACUCUCAAUCAGAGCCUGGGUCUAACACUUUGGGGUAUUCUAUGAAGUGGUGUCGUGACUGGGAUUAACCCUUGCAAUUAUUGGUUACGAACGAGGAAUUCCUUGUAAUCGCGGUUUAUCAGCCCGCGUUGAAUGCGUCCCUGCCCUUUGUACACACCGCCCGUCGCUCCUACCGAUGGAUCGUCCGGUGAAGCUCAUGGAGGGGCGGUUGUCUCAGCUGCCGUCGAAGUGAAAUGGACCUCACGAUCUAGAGGAAGGAGAAGUCGUAACA